CAGUUGCCUUCAUCAUACCGUUUUGAUACUGAUUAUAUCCCUUUUAUUUUAUCUAAUCCCUUCCAUUUUAUCUAAUUGUCUAGGGGUCCCCUGCAGAUGGAUAUAACCAAAGAUACGAUGCAAAAGGUGAUCCUGGGUUGCCAGGAAUGCCUGGGCUUCAGGGUGCACAGGGUGUUCAAGGAUAUCCUGGAGAAAAUGGGCCACAGGGCCCUCCAGGAACUUCAGGAAUGCCAGGGAGACCAGGACCUCCUGGACCUAAGGGUCUUAUGGGAAUAAAAGUAAUAGGAACCAAAGGAAGAAAGGGUGACACUGGAUUAACUGGACCCCCUGGACCACCAGGAACCGUUAUUGUGACAUUAAGUGGUCCAGACAACAUGACGGACUUGAAAGGAGAGAAAGGGGAAAAAGGAUCAAGAGGACUUCCAGGACCAAUGGGGUUUACAGGGCCAGUUGGUGAUUCUCAAAGUGAAAAGGGUGACCGAGGAGAACCCGGAGCACAGGUAUGUGGAAAAAGUACUUAUAAAUAAGUUAGAGAAUUAAAUAGGAAGGUACCACUUGUUAUUGAAAUGACUUUCAAAGUUUCACAUAAAAACUUCUCAACAAAAGGUUCCUGUUCAUGGUAACUAAACAUGUAUGAAUUUCUAACAGUGUACCAAUUUAUAAUCAAAAAAUUAUAGCUUUCUAUAAGAUUUUUAACCCUAAAAUACUCAAUAAUGUUUUGUGGCAUUUUUCUGAACAAAACAUUCUAAUCCCUCAAUUUCAAAUAAUUUUUCAAAACAAUAUUAAGAAAUAUCUCUUACUGUCUUACUUAUCUUAAUGUCUAACAUAAACACAUUUUUAAACUUUUCCAUGCUUAUUGUGGCUAUAAUAAUUUUUUUUCAUGCAAGAAAGGUUAACAAUGGAGGACUUGUACUAUCUGUAGAUUGCUCUUUCUUCACUUGCGUGGUGCUUUAACAACAAUGAUGCUGUAGACCAGCCCAAUGUUUACUUUUAUUAUUCCUAUGCAUUAUGAAAAAUUGAAGCAGUAACUCAGACAAAAAUUUAAAGUACCAAAAUUUCUUGCCAUCCAGGAUGUAUUGUCAUUUUUCUAUCUUCUGUAUUCUGUAUUAUGUUAACAGUAUGCAAAACUUUACUAGAACUCGUCUUAACUGACCUUUCACAUCCUCUUUUCUGGAGAAAGUAGUAGAACACUCUUGCUUUUCUAACAAACUGUGUUAAGACAUUGACUGACCAGCCAUUCUAAAAAAAAAAUAUUACUACAAUAUACCAAAUAAGUGUGAAUUUCAUGUUCUAGAAAAAAAGGAUCAUUUUGUGCAAAUAAGUUUGAGUCACUAGUGAUAUCACUGCUACUUCCAGCUCCCCCUCUUCUCUUAAACCUUAACCUUUGGUUAAGUUCUGCCAUCUCUUCAGUAUUACUGGUUUUUCUGUUGCUUUCAUCAUAAUUCAUGGUCUGAUCUUUUUUUUUCUUUUCUUUUUUUUUUUUAAUUAUUUUCAUUUCCUUGGACUUACUCUGUGCAAAAUAAACCUCUGAAAUGUACUUUCUUUCCUGUUGUU
rnacentral:lncRNA from 1 species